GGUGAACGCCACAGACAUGGUGACUCAAAACCUGCAAGGGAAAGUUACGGCCGAUACACCAUCGGCGGAGGACCUUGCAAUGCUUCAGCUGGAUAACAUGGACCAGAAUACAUCUCCGGUUCGCCGCCUCAUCAUGAAUAAAAUUGAAGCAUGCCUGAAAAAGAGUGAACGGUAUCGUAACUUCCGCCCAUAUUUUUUACGAUUCCCUUCAAGAAUCAUUGACAGCAUACUCUACGAAACAGCUCCCCAGCUGUAUUAUUACAUGGAUCUUGACACAGUAGAAGUCAGGGUGAAUAAUUACCUCAGAUCUUUGCGGCAGCUGCCUGGGAUACAGAUGACAGACUUAAGUGCCUAUCAUAAUAGAGUUGCCCCUGGUUUUACUAAUUUUCCUGCACAUGGAGGAGACGUACCUCCACAUACUGCGUUUACUUCGCAGAGAUAUGUACCACAGAAUCCCGACAUGGCCGUUGCUAAUGUUUCUCUAGCUGAAACGCCUGAAAGCUUUAUGAGCACCAUAGUUGCUCCAUCUGUUUCAGUACUUCCUAACCGUAUUUCAGGCCUUUGUGGGAUUGAUAGUGCUGGAUUGCAAAAUGGCUAUUUAAAGGACCAUUUUCCAGGUGAUGCUUACCCAAAUACAGAGAAUAUCUCUAAAGCAAGUGGGCAAAAACUCUUUACCGGUGAAGGACAAUUGUUUCAACAAUACAGAGAAUAUGAGAAAGAGUUAGACGGUGCAUGGAGCCACCCAGCAGAGAAGGCAGUUCACUCAAAUAGGACAACUCAAAGCAAUGAAAUAUAUCUCAAUGGAGAAUGUGGACCUGACACAUUCAUGGAAAUGACAGAAAACUAUUGGUGCAUCUCGGACUCUAGGAACUCAUGCAGGGAGAUAUACUCAAAUUUAAGCACAUCCAAUCAGUGUUUCGUGUCUGAUUGUGAUCCUUGUGACCCUGAGAGAGAAAUUGUUGAAAGAUCUGAACAUACACCAAAUAGUACAGUAUCAAAGCCAACUUCACCUAUUUCAGAUGAAUCUUCUGCCAAGCGUCCAGCAAAACGCCUGAAGGCUGUUAUGGAAGAGAAGUUAUACUUUGCAAAGGGUGACAUUGAGAUGAGAGAGGCAAAGACCGUUGCAUGGGAUCAGACACCAAGAGGGGUCAGUUUAAGUUCAAGGCGAGAGAGAGGGGCUUCUAUACUUUAUGGAUUAACUGCUGAGGAGCUUGGAGAUCAUAUGAGUAGUCUAACAAACCAGAAUACUUGUCUGAGCAAGGAGACAUCUCAAGAAUUUCCAUCAAUUGAUGGAUUGCCUGAUCAGAAUACAUGCAGUUUGUGUGGAAUGGAGAUGCUUCUUUUUGAACCUCCUCCACGAUUUUGUGCUCUCUGUUUCAAAAUAAUAAAUUCUGCAGGGUGCUAUUAUGUCGAAGUUGAAAAUGGAAGUGAGGAAACUUCUAUAUGUUGCAAAUGCCACCAUCUUAGCAGUUUAAAAGCUAAAUACCAGAAGAAAUUUAAUUAUGCAGAAACAGAUGCUGAGGCUGAAUGGUGGGUCCAGUGCAACAAGUGCAAAGCUUGGCAGCAUGAAAUCUGUGCUCUUUUUAACAGAAAGUGUGAAGGGGCAAAGGCUGAGUAUACUUGCGCAAAAUGUUUUUUGAGUGAAAAGGAUAGCGGAGAUAUUCAGGCACUCGAGCCAUCCACUGUUCUUGGGGCACAUGAGUUACCAAGAACUAAGCUAAGUGAUCAUAUUGAGCAAAGACUUUCAGAGAGGCUUAAGCAGGACAGACAACACAGAGCGAGCGCCUCUGGAAAAGUUGCUGAAGAGGUACCAGGCGUGAAAGGUCUUACAGUUAGAGUAGUUUCUUCAGUUGACAGAUUAGUACAAGUCCAACCACGUUUUCGUGACUUAUUUAAACAAGAAAAGUAUCCUGGGGAAUUUCCAUACAGAUCGAAGGCCAUUCUCUUGUUUCAGAAGAUUGACGGUGUGGAUGUUUGCCUGUUCGCGAUGUAUGUACAAGAGUAUGGUUCAGAUUGCCCAUCACCAAAUCAAAGACAUGUUUAUCUUGCAUAUAUCGAUUCUGUCAAAUAUUUGCGGCCUGAAAUAAAAUCUUCAAGUGGAGAAGCUCUCCGCACCUUUGUGUAUCAUGAAAUUUUGAUUGGCUAUCUGGACUACUGCAAGAAACGAGGAUUUGUAAGCUGUUCCAUAUGGGCUUGCAGGGGCGGACCCAGGCCUAUGGCCGCCUGGGCCACGGCCCGGGGCGCAGGCCCAAUAUUUUCUUAGAAGAGCCGUGAGCCGGCACAGGAUCACAGGCAUAGCCCAGC